CCUGAUGCAGCAACGCCGCGUGAGGGAUGACGGCCUUCGGGUUGUAAACCUCUUUUAGUAGGGAAGAAGCGAAAGUGACGGUACCUGCAGAAAAAGCACCGGCUAACUACGUGCCAGCAGCCGCGGUAAUACGUAGGGUGCAAGCGUUGUCCGGAAUUAUUGGGCGUAAAGAGCUCGUAGGCGGUUUGUCGCGUCUGCUGUGAAAUCCCGAGGCUCAACCUCGGGCUUGCAGUGGGUACGGGCAGACUAGAGUGCGGUAGGGGAGAUUGGAAUUCCUGGUGUAGCGGUGGAAUGCGCAGAUAUCAGGAGGAACACCGAUGGCGAAGGCAGAUCUCUGGGCCGUAACUGACGCUGAGGAGCGAAAGCAUGGGGAGCGAACAGGAUUAGAUACCCUGGUAGUCCAUGCCGUAAACGUUGGGCGCUAGAUGUAGGGACCUUUCCACGGUUUCUGUGUCGUAGCUAACGCAUUAAGCGCCCCGCCUGGGGAGUACGGCCGCAAGGCUAAAACUCAAAGGAAUUGACGGGGGCCCGCACAAGCGGCGGAGCAUGCGGAUUAAUUCGAUGCAACGCGAAGAACCUUACCAAGGCUUGACAUACACCGGAAACGGCCAGAGAUGGUCGCCCCCUUGUGGU
rnacentral:rRNA from 2 species